rnacentral:rRNA from 1 species
GAUGAACGCUGGCGGCGUGCCUAAUACAUGCAAGUCGAGCGAACGGACGAGAAGCUUGCUUCUCUGAUGUUAGCGGCGGACGGGUGAGUAACACGUGGAUAACCUACCUAUAAGACUGGGAUAACUUCGGGAAACCGGAGCUAAUACCGGAUAAUAUUUUGAACCGCAUGGUUCAAAAGUGAAAGACGGUCUUGCUGUCACUUAUAGAUGGAUCCGCGCUGCAUUAGCUAGUUGGUAAGGUAACGGCUUACCAAGGCAACGAUGCAUAGCCGACCUGAGAGGGUGAUCGGCCACACUGGAACUGAGACACGGUCCAGACUCCUACGGGAGGCAGCAGUAGGGAAUCUUCCGCAAUGGGCGAAAGCCUGACGGAGCAACGCCGCGUGAGUGGUGAAGGUCUUCGGAUCGUAAAACUCUGUUAUUAGGGAAGAACAUAUGUGUAAGUAACUGUGCACAUCUUGACGGUACCUAAUCAGAAAGCCACGGCUAACUACGU